CUCGCCCGGGCCUGGAGCCGCGCUCCGGGACCCUGGCCCAGCGCCGUCGGAGACCACUAAGGCCCCUACUUCGAGGACCCCGAGCCCCCAGACGCCCAUCGUUAACCCGAGGCUCCAAGUCCCCACGUCUGACCCCUGACCCUCGCCCCGGAAGUCGGGGUGAUCGCAAGUUCCGGCUCAGUCGCUAGGAAACCAGCAAUCCCGACGCGAGGGGCGGGGCUUCUGACCUCCCGGGCGAGUGGGGGGAGGCAGGUGAGACAGGUCACUCCAACCCCGCCGACACUCAGCAGCACGGUGCCGUCACGGCGGAGCACAGGUCAAGCUGCGCAAGAGCUCAAUACCCAGGGCAGGUGGACCAGGAGGCUGGCUGGGACACUGAGUGCACGGGGACCAUCCUCCAGGCC